GACGAACGCUGGCGGCGUGCUUAACACAUGCAAGUCGAACGGAAAGGCCUCUUUCGGGGGGUACUCGAGUGGCGAACGGGUGAGUAACACGUGAGUAACCUGCCCUUGACUUUGGGAUAACUUCAGGAAACUGGGGCUAAUACCGGAUAGGAGCUCCUGCUGCAUGGUGGGGGUUGGAAAGUUUCGGCGGUUGGGGAUGGACUCGCGGCUUAUCAGCUUGUUGGUGGGGUAGUGGCUUACCAAGGCUUUGACGGGUAGCCGGCCUGAGAGGGUGACCGGCCACAUUGGGACUUAGAUACGGCCCAGACUCCUACGGGAGGCAGCAGUGGGGAAUAUUGCACAAUGGGUGGAAGCCUGAUGCAGCAACGCCGUGUGCGGGAUGACGUCCUUCGGGUUGUAAACCGCUUUCGCUCAUGACGAAGCUUUGUGUGACGGUAGUGAGUAAAGAAGCACCGGCUAACUACGUG
rnacentral:rRNA from 1 species